UCCCCGCUGGGUUCUCUGCAACACCACACACCCCCCCCCCCCACACCGUCCUUCUCCACGGCUUCACCCCUCCGCCCGAUUGGUUGUGCUGCCGACACCAUCACUGGCCGUAUUCUACUCAUGCCGCCGUCUGUAACCGCUGACAAGGGUAAGUACCGCCUAAACAAGGAUUUUUUUCUCUGUUUUCGUUUCCCAGUUUCUCUCCAGUCACUUUUACAAUCCAUUCACUUUCAUAUAGAAGGCCACAUAGUCACUUAUUCACUCUUUCACUACUGGAUUGUCUUUGUUUAUGAGAAACAUUUGAGUUAACUCCCAAGUACAAUCUCUCAAACCAAAAAUUGUUGCAAUGGAAGGAAAGGUACUAUUUUCUCCUUUUAUUUUAUCUUUCGCUCUUUCUCUCACUUUUUAUUUUAUUUUAUUUUAUUUAUUUCUAGGGUUCCAGUUGAUUGAGAAUCCCAACCACUUUUUUAAAUUUGUUGUCUUGUUGGUGCUAGUGCUCCUUUUAUUUUAUCUUUCGCGUUAUUUGUUGUCUUGUUGGGUUUGUUUAAAAGUCGGUCAAGUCUUAGAUCUGUCGAUUCUUUCUCUUCCUUUUCUUUUCCCUUGCUGUUUUUUUUAAUUGGAGAUCAUCAUUUGAAUCUGAUUUGAUGCUUUCCCAAGCGAAUGGGAAUGGAAAACACUUUUUCAUCUCAUUUAUAGUAUACUUUGCAAUAGAUUUGUUGAAGAAUUGGCAGCUUCUGGAAUAGACAUGUAAAACCCAUGUCCUAUGAGUUUUAUCUUUUAUUCUGGUUUUGCAAACAUCAAAAUAAUAACAAGUAUUUUGAUCAUGUAGUGUUUCUAGUAACUAAAUUCAAGAUUUAUAAAAAAAAUUAGAAUGUGGGUGACUUCUGAAUUGAUCAAUCUGCAUGACAAUUCUUUGGACUGUUUGAUGUUUGAUGGGCAAUAAGCAAAUUCUGGACAAGUUCAGAUGUGAGGGAUCCAUGCCAUGGAUUAAAAAUAAAUAAAAGAGAAAGGAUAAUGAAUCCAGAUGGUCAUGAUGAAAAGUUAUCCAAACAGGACUGGACCUACUUUGGAAUCAAAGUUAAUCAUCUUUGAAUAUUUAUAAAUAGGAUGAGGUGUGAUAUUAUUGUCCCCUUUUACAUGUUUAUAAAUCUUCUUGAAAAUUUCCUUUUCUAAUGUCUUUGUUUUAAUGUUCCAUUUUUAAUAUCUUCAAGAUACGUCGUGCUUGCUCCAUGGGACUUAGUGCAAAUCAGUCCCCAACUUUGACUAGAAAUUGGCCUCCUAAUUGGGAGAAAGUAGUGAAUUCCUUGCAGAAUUUGUGUGUGCCAGAAUGGGAAGAAAAAGUUGUGCUCUUGUUGAGGUAGCACGCUUUUCACACCAGUUUCCUCUUCCUCUAUAUGUUUUCCUCACUCAGCUUUCAAUUAAUGGCUUGGACCCAGCUAGGCCUUUUUGCCAUUCAUGCAUAGCACCAGAGCUUUUCUCUCCAGAGUCUUGGGAUCAAACUUAAACCGAUCAAAACUUGAGUAUAUAUUGAGAUUUGAUGCAGAUGACCAUUUGAAGCAUGUAUUCAUUAAUCACGUCUCCUGCGAAGCAAUGUACAACCAUGACAGAUUUGUAAUUUUUUCAUGAUAGUGUAUUAUUUGAUUCUAUCA